GAUGAACGCUGGCGGCGUGCCUAAUACAUGCAAGUCGAGCGAACGGACGAGAAGCUUGCUUCUCUGAUGUUAGCGGCGGACGGGUGAGUAACACGUGGAUAACCUACCUAUAAGACUGGGAUAACUUCGGGAAACCGUAGCUAAUACCGGAUAAUAUUUUGAACCGCAUGGUUCAAAAGUGAAAGACGGUCUUGCUGUCACUUAUAGAUGGAUCCGCGCUGCAUUAGCUAGUUGGUAAGGUAACGGCUUACCAAGGCAACGAUGCAUAGCCGACCUGAGAGGUUGAUCGGCCACACUCGAACUGAGACACGGUCCAGACUCCUACGGGAGGCAGCAGUAGGGAAUCUUGCGCGAUGGGCGAAAGCCUGACGGAGCAACGCCGAGUGAGUGCAGAAGGUCUUCGGAUCGUAAAACUCUGUUAUUAGGGAAGAACAUAUGUGUAAGUAACUGUGCACAUCGUGACGGUACCUAAUAAGAAAGCCACGGCUAACUACGUG
rnacentral:rRNA from 1 species